UGGGGAAUUUUGGUCAAUGGGCGAAAGCCUGAUCCAGCAAUGCCGCGGGUGUGAAGAAGGCCUUCGGGUGGUAAAGCACUUUUGUUCGGAAAGAAAUGGCUCUGGUUAAUACCUGGGGUCGAUGACGGUACCGGAAGAAUAAGGACCGGCUAACAACGUGCCAGCAGCCGCGGUAAUACGUAGGGUCCAAGCGUUAAUCGGAAUUACUGGGCGUAACGCGUGCGCAGGCGGUUGUGCAAGACCGAUGUGAAAUCCCCGGGCUUAACUUGGGAAGUGCAUUGGUGACUGCACGGCUAGAGUGUGUCAGAGGGGGGUAGAAUUCCACGUGUAGCAGUGAAAUGCGUAGGGAUGUGGAGGAAUACCGAUGGAGAAGGCAGCCCCCUGGGAUAACACUGACGCUCAUGCACGAAAGCGUGGGGAGCAAACAGG
rnacentral:rRNA from 1 species